UACCCGCUAGGGUCUCAACGCAUACGGGGGGGUUUAUAGAGCGGAUGCAGGGGAGGGGUGGGGAGCCGGAGUAGAUAUUUUGAGGUGGGCGAGGGAGGGAGGUUGUUUCUUCCUUUCUUUCUUCCUCCUAAGUGACGCGGACGCGGUGUGUGUGGGGAGCUGUGGCUUCCAAACCAACCUAGCAGCACGAGGUACCCCGAAGAACUGGUCGACACCCUGCUGUGCCACCGGCCCGGCGCCGGCCUGGUGCCGGAGCCGUCCGAGGCGUUCAUGCGCAGGAAGAGGGGCAGGAGGCGGCGGAGGCGCUGCUGGCGACGGCACGGCAGCCGGCUGCACCGCCGCGGCCGCCACUGCGCCUCGUAGUGGUAGGAGGCGGGCGGCCGAGACAGGCACUGCAGCGGCGCGUCGCUCAGGCCGAGGCCGAGGCGCGGGAGCAGGGGCCGGUCGCAGGGGCUGAGGGGGAAGCCGUGUCGUUGCUGUGGGUCCCCUCUCUCACCAACCUCAUUCGACGCCGCGUUUCCGUCCUACCGGCGGCUGCCGUACCUCCGGUCGGGGCCGUGGGGGUCCUCGGGGUGGCACAUGCUGACCCACCACUAAUCAAGCGAGCUGGCGAUUGACAUCUUGUUCUUCUUCGUCUAGGUGGUUCUGCCUCUCCACGUGCUCGUGUUCCUCUCAUCGACCUUUGGUACUGGCCUUCUACCUUGGUACAGGGUCAUAUACAAUGACAUAAUCAAUACAUGAUGAUGAUGAUGAAGGCAACAUUUGUAGGUGAGGUGCACUCUACCACGCUCAAAAGCAUCGUUUCCUACACGAUCUACCUAGGCUGUAGGCUCACCAUCGAGUUCCUUUUGAACCAUCAUCCGUUGGCCGCUGCACGUUGCUGGACUCCGCUUACUCUGGCUACACUUCACACACACACACAAACAUUUAGGAUGGUCAUCUACGUGAUCUAGUCUCCUCUACAACUCGAGAUCGACGAGACAUGUUUCCGGGCGCCCGUCGUACACGAUUACGUACGUCACAUUUUAUACACACGUUAUUACGUACCGAUUCACUUGGAGGUGAGGACACUAAUAACAGUCCGUAGGAGGGAUCAACCAACCCGAUCAACUUCUUUACCGUGGUUAUUAAACGAG
rnacentral:rRNA from 1 species